AGAGUUUGAUCAUGGCUCAGAACGAACGCUGGCGGCGUGCCUAACACAUGCAAGUCGAGCGAGAAAGUCCCGGCAACGGGAUGAGUAAAGCGGCAAACGGGUGAGUAACGCGUAGGUAAUCUACCCUACGGAUCGGGAUAACCUGCCGAAAGGUGGACUAAUACCGGAUGAUGUUCUUGCGGAGAUUCCGUGGGAACCAAAGGGGGCGAGCGAAAGCAGCUCUCACCGAAGGAGGAGCCUGCGUCCGAUUAGCUAGUUGGUGGGGUAAUGGCCUACCAAGGCGACGAUCGGUAGCCGGCCUGAGAGGGUGAUCGGCCACACUGGAACUGAGACACGGUCCAGACUCCUACGGGAGGCAGCAGUGGGGAAUAUUGCGCAAUGGGCGAAAGCCUGACGCAGCGACGCCGCGUGGGUGAUGAAGGCCUUCGGGUCGUAAAGCCCUGUCGGGUGGAACGAAACGCUUGGCGGCGAAUAACCGCUAGGCUUGACGGUACCACCGAAGGAAGCCCCGGCUAACUACGUGCCAGCAGCCGCGGUAAGACGUAGGGGGCGAGCGUUGUUCGGAUUUACUGGGCGUAAAGCGCGCGUAGGCGGCCAGAUAAGUCGGGUGUGAAAGCCCUCGGCUCAACCGAGGUUCCGCAUCCGAUACUGUUUGGCUGGAGUCUAGGAGAGGAGAGCGGAAUUCCCAGUGUAGCGGUGAAAUGCGUAGAUAUUGGGAGGAACACCCGUGGCGAAGGCGGCUCUCUGGACUAGUACUGACGCUGAGGCGCGAAAGCUAGGGGAGCGAACGGGAUUAGAUACCCCGGUAGUCCUAGCCGUAAACGAU
rnacentral:rRNA from 1 species